UUUCAUUGUUUUUAGAUCAGUAAACCAUAGGUAAACUAUGUAGUCCAGCCGUCUGAAAUGCCUACAAAAUCUCUUUUGGUCGUUGGGGCUCACUAGAGCUCGCCGGUGGUGUUAGCUUCUAAGCUCGUUGUUCCAAGACGCUACCCUCAAAAAGGAAAGUGAAUUAUGCAGACGAAAAUUCUGAAAGGCAUUUUUGAGGUCAUGAUGAUAAUGAUGACGAGGACAACAACAACAAAGGACAGAAAGAAUUAACACAUCUGGAACUUGAAGUUGGAGGCAGAUUUGAAAGAAUACAAUAUCUUCAACAUUAAACUAUUGGAGUAGAUUGCAGUUACUAACUCAAGCAAAAACAUGGUUGGAAUUGAUGUGUAAGAUGAUACAUGUGCCUUAAAAGGAAGGUGAAGUCAUCAUCCAGUGAAGUGACUGAAUAUGUGUCAGCUAUAUCAAGUGCAUGUAAUACUAUCAUUAUUUUGAUUCGGAUG